ensembl:lncRNA
CAGAUCUGACUGUAAUGUGAUUAAUGUAAAGAGUGCUUUUCAAAAAGCUACUGUGGCUUUGCAUGAUUUUACAUGCACAGAAUCUGACUAAAGAAAAUGGAAAUUUAUGUGGGAAUUUAAUCAUUCAUUCAUUUAUUUACUCACUUGCGUACCUAUUUAUGUGGAUAAUUGAUUUUCAGCAUUCCAUAGUGGCAUGUUAAAUAAGUUUUUCUCUGGCAGUUCUCUGCUCAAGAUUUUUGUUUGUUUGUUUGUUUGUUUGUUUGUUUUCUCCAAAUGUGUAUUUUCUGCAAGCAGCAGAUAAGUGCAUAUUUGAACUAUGUUGCAUUGCAUCAGUAAACUAGUUUUGGCAAUGCAUACAUGCUCAGUAUGUCUUGGGGAAAGUAAUGUAGCUAUUUGUAAACAGUGUAAUCAAGCCGAAGAGACACAACCUCAAGGUUAAUAGGUGAAGCUCCUAUGAUUAGCUUGACUUCAAGUGAAACACUUGAACACAAGUCAUUAUGGGGUGCUCAAGAUUAAUUAACCUAUUUUGACCCUUGCCAUGGCAGAGCUUAUAGACUAUUAUGUCUAUUUAAUCCAAUCACUUACAAAAUGAUUAUACAAGUUUCUUAUACGGGUGUUUAUAUUAAGCCUCACAAUACUAAUUUUAUCGUAGAAAAUCUUUACUGCUAACCCAUUUAUGACAUUCUGCUCAAUAUAAAAUAUGUACUAUACUUCAAAAUGUACAAACAAUCAAUAAUCAUUAUUGAAAUUAAUUAAUUUAUAGCAUGCAAUGUUUCUGAUUAUUUAAAUACGAUUAACAUUAUUAUCAAUAUAGCUUGUAUGUAGCUUAUCACAUGUUUCUAUUUCAUGGUCUUUCUUCCUCUCUUUCUGUCUUGGUUUCUGUAUUGAAAAGUCUCAGCUGGAAGUCAUGCAGGCGAAUCAUCUCCAUGCUAACAGCAUGGUCCAUGUCCCUGUCCACCUAAAGGGCCAUGAGGAGAAGGAAGUGCACUCUCAUCCUCGUGCCCGCCGUGUGUCUUCAGACGAAAACAGCCUAACCAAAGUGGGGGGACCUGAAUGUCACAUCAGUACCAUUCCAGAGCUCACUAAGUGCUUAGAGAAAAGGCUGCGUUUCAAUAACCAGAAGGUGAUAUCAAUAGGUGAUGCAGAUAGCAUAUGUAUUAUUUGCCAAGAAGAACUACUGAAUGGAAGGGGUGGCAUCCAAGAACUUCACUGUGGCCAUCAUUUUCAUAAAGAGUGCAUUGAGAAAUGGCUUUGGCAGAAAGAGUCAUGUCCCACCUGUCGAGUUCAUGUGACCAUGCCUGAAUAAGCCCCUCUACUGGUCCUCUACUUGUGUCCAGUUUCCCUGACAAUGUCCAUUUUCAAUCACUGCAUGAUCAUUUCCAUGUCUUUUAGCCUGUGACCACUGAUUUAAUGUGUUUAUAUGUAAAUAAAAACAACAACAAAACAUCCUCUCUGGGUGGA